UCAGACGAUGCGUCAUGCAUAUCAAUAAGCGGAGGAAAAGAAACUAACAAGGAUUCCCUUAGUAACGGCGAGUGAAGCGGGAAGAGCUCAAAUUUGAAAUCUUCAAGGUUUUACCUUGACGAAUUGUAGUUUAAAGAAGUGUUUUCUGCUGAAGUUUUGGUAAAAGUUCUUUGGAAUAGGACAUCAUAGAGGGUGAGAAUCCCGUAUUUGACCAUUAUUUUCAGCUUUGUGAUACACUUUCAAAGAGUCGGAUUGUUUGGGAAUGCAGUCCAAAAUGGGUGGUAAAUUUCAUCUAAAGCUAAAUAUUGGCGAGAGACCGAUAGCGAACAAGUACCGUGAGGGAAAGAUGAAAAGAACUUUGAAAAGAGAGUUAAACAGUACGUGAAAUUGUCAAAAGGGAAGCGUUUGACACCAGUGUUGUUUUCUCGAAAAUCAAUUAAAAAUGGCUCGAUUUUGUAUUGCUUGAGACCUUAAAAGCUCACUGUACAUUUUUCGUGUCUUUUUUAAUGCACUUUUCGUUUAACAAGUCAACAUCAGUUUCUUUUGUUGUAAAAGGGUCAUUGGAAGGUGGCUUUCUUUUCGGAGAAAGUGUUUAUAGCCUUUGGCCUCUGCAAUCGGAGAGACUGAGGUCUGCAGCGUAGACUCUUCGGGGUUAGAUACAUUUGUGCUAAGUUAUAGCUUUUUAUAGACAACUUGUUGACUAUAAUUAGUCUUGUAGCUUACUCGCUUAUGCUAUUUUACCUACGCUUAGGAUGUUGACUGAUAUGUAGUCGUA
rnacentral:rRNA from 1 species